rnacentral:lncRNA from 1 species
AUGGUUGGGAGAAUCCAAGAUCAGUGUUUUCCUAUGACGGUGGGUUAUUUGUGGAGCUUGGUGGGGAUAUAUUUCACAAGGAAUGCAGUCUGAAUUCUUGAUAUUGUAAAGUUAAACCACAAUCCAAACUAGAAGUUCAAUGCCUAGUGCUGACCACAAGAUAUGAGUGAUGUAAAUAGAUCAAACACACGCGCAAAGAUAAUUCAGAUUUGAUGCAAACAAGGAGGAUGCCUAGGAUGCAAGUGUUGCAAUCAAAUCCAAGCAAAAUUUUGCACCAAAGAUGGAUAAUGACUGAUUGUGUGACUUGAUAUAAAAUUCAGAACUUGAGCACAUAAACAGAGUGAACUUUCUACUCUUUCUUCACAACUUUUCUUCCUCAACUCUCCUUUUUUUCACUUUCUCUUUUUUUGAUACUUUUUUUAUAACUAAGAACAAGAGCAGAUAUAACACUUGCACACACUUUUUUUUUGAAACAAGACACAACCGUCAGCGUUCUAACUUGAUAGGCUCAAAGUUUACGCGAAGGAUGAUACCGGUUUCAGAUUUUCUUUAGGGAUUUGUAGAUAUAAAAGAGGCACAAAGGACACACAAAGGAUAUGAUGAUCAACAACUAAACAAAACUCUAAUGGACUGAAACUUAACCAAACUCACAAGAAAACAGACUGAAACAAAGGGCUAAUGCAAUUUUUUUUAUGGCUUUUUGGUGGAUAGGACGAACAAGAUAUAUAUAUAUAGCUAAGGGUAAAAAUCCUACCGUGGAAACUUGAGCUUUGAUACCAGAUGGUGAUGUCGUUGUCCUGAUCUUCACAACGUAGGAUAACUAGCUGAAGAUCAGCCGAUAACUUGCUGCAAGUAGCGAGGAUAACUAGUGCAACCUGACGACACGCACAAGGAGCCAACCACCAUCUCUAUACGGCAGCCUGAACCAAGGAUUCGCCCAACCACACUCUCAAAAAACCAACGUACGCAACCUGAACUCGAGGAUCAGGAGCACGGAUUGGGUGCCGAUGACGCGGCCGCUUCUGUAAUCUCCGCGAAGGAAAACACAAGAGCAAAGGGGUAGAGAUCUCUCUCUGAAUUUGUUAGCACACAGCUGAACAAAGUGGUUUGGAUUCUCAAUAUCAUAAGUCUGAGAUAACAAUGAGUCUAGGGGGUAUUUGUGUAUGCCAACCAGCACGAAACUCUGUAGAUUGGUACAGUUUUACUUGGCAAGUUGUACCAAUAUUCUGUCACGACAGACUGUUGACCUUCUGAGCAGUCUGUACUAAUUCUGGUCUAGAGGUAAUAUGGGGUAUCCAAACUGGCCGCCACAAGAUUCAUUGGAAAGUAGACUCGAAGAGCUUUCCAACAAGUGCUCAUGGGCCUUCAUAGCAUCUCGGAAGUGAAAGUUAUGUUCUUUUCUUUCAACUGGUCCGUUCUGCACCGCACUGGUCCGAUCUGCCCUUCUUUCAACUCAUCCGUUCUGCACCGUGUUGUUCCAAUCCUUGCGGUCCAGGUCACCUCUCUCCUCAUGUGUAUACCU